rnacentral:rRNA from 1 species
AGAGUUUGAUCCUGGCUCAGGACGAACGCUGGCGGCGUGCCUAAUACAUGCAAGUAGAACGCUGAAGAGAGGAGCUUGCUCUUCUUGGAUGAGUUGCGAACGGGUGAGUAACGCGUAGGUAACCUGCCUUGUAGCGGGGGAUAACUAUUGGAAACGAUAGCUAAUACCGCAUAACAAUGGAUGACACAUGUCAUUUAUUUGAAAGGGGCAAUUGCUCCACUACAAGAUGGACCUGCGUUGUAUUAGCUAGUAGGUGAGGUAACGGCUCACCUAGGCGACGAUACAUAGCCGACCUGAGAGGGUGAUCGGCCACACUGGGACUGAGACACGGCCCAGACUCCUACGGGAGGCAGCAGUAGGGAAUCUUCGGCAAUGGGGGCAACCCUGACCGAGCAACGCCGCGUGAGUGAAGAAGGUUUUCGGAUCGUAAAGCUCUGUUGUAAGUCAAGAACGAGUGUGAGAGUGGAAAAUUCACACUGUGACGGUAGCUUACCAGAAAGGGACGGCUAACUACGUGCCAGCAGCCGCGGUAAUACGUAGGUCCCGAGCGUUGUCCGGAUUUAUUGGGCGUAAAGCGAGCGCAGGCGGUUUGAUAAGUCUGAAGUUAAAGGCUGUGGCUCAACCAUAGUUCGCUUUGGAAACUGUCAAACUUGAGUGCAGAAGGGGAGAGUGGAAUUCCAUGUGUAGCGGUGAAAUGCGUAGAUAUAUGGAGGAACACCGGUGGCGAAAGCGGCUCUCUGGUCUGUAACUGACGCUGAGGCUCGAAAGCGUGGGGAGCGAACAGGAUUAGAUACCCUGGUAGUCCACGCCGUAAACGAUGAGUGCUAGGUGUUGGAUCCUUUCCGGGAUUCAGUGCCGCAGCUAACGCAUUAAGCACUCCGCCUGGGGAGUACGACCGCAAGGUUGAAACUCAAAGGAAUUGACGGGGGCCCGCACAAGCGGUGGAGCAUGUGGUUUAAUUCGAAGCAACGCGAAGAACCUUACCAGGUCUUGACAUCCCGAUGCUAUUUCUAGAGAUAGAAAGUUACUUCGGUACAUCGGUGACAGGUGGUGCAUGGUUGUCGUCAGCUCGUGUCGUGAGAUGUUGGGUUAAGUCCCGCAACGAGCGCAACCCCUAUUGUUAGUUGCCAUCAUUCAGUUGGGCACUCUAGCGAGACUGCCGGUAAUAAACCGGAGGAAGGUGGGGAUGACGUCAAAUCAUCAUGCCCCUUAUGACCUGGGCUACACACGUGCUACAAUGGUUGGUACAACGAGUUGCGAGUCGGUGACGGCAAGCUAAUCUCUUAAAGCCAAUCUCAGUUCGGAUUGUAGGCUGCAACUCGCCUACAUGAAGUCGGAAUCGCUAGUAAUCGCGGAUCAGCACGCCGCGGUGAAUACGUUCCCGGGCCUUGCACACACCGCCCGUCA